GGCUCUUUAGUGUAGCCUAAUGGUUAGCACUCUAGACUUUAAGUCUAGAGAUCUGAGAUCAAAUCUCAGUCAAACCU